GCCCCAUGGUGGUGCUGUCCCUCUCAGGGCGGCACAGAGCGGUGAUGGUGCAGCGCUUUGGGGCCGAUGUGGGGCGGCUGCGGCUGGAAGGCACGCGGUUCCUGAUGGAGGCUGCGGCGCUGGAGGAGGAGCUGAGGGCGGAGCUCUCCCGCGUGAGAUCAGCGGAGGGGCGGGGCUUCUGACGACCACGCCCACCACCUGACCACGCCCUCCGCAAAAGACCACGCCCACACCUCGCCCAGCGCGAGGCCACGCCCCUCUCUAUUUUGCAUUAAAGGCACCGCGUGCCCAAAAAUGUC